CUGCAAUCGUCCACAAAAUAUAUUGAGACUUUUUAAAUCAAUCCCCUCCCCCCUUAUUUUAAUGUUGAAACCUACUGUACUUAUCCAAAACGAACAUAAGGUGACACUAGAACCACAACUGUGUCACUGGCAGUUGAAAUGUAACAUAUGAUGUUGCAACUAAACUAUAUUGUAGUGCCUAACAACAUUGAAAUCGGGGAAGGGGGUUUGUC
rnacentral:lncRNA from 1 species